rnacentral:rRNA from 1 species
AGUGAACGCUGGCGGUAGGCCUAACACAUGCAAGUCGAACGGCAGCACAGUAAGAGCUUGCUCUUACGGGUGGCGAGUGGCGGACGGGUGAGGAAUACAUCGGAAUCUACUUUUUCGUGGGGGAUAACGUAGGGAAACUUACGCUAAUACCGCAUACGACCUACGGGUGAAAGCAGGGGAUCUUCGGACCUUGCGCGAUUGAAUGAGCCGAUGUCGGAUUAGCUAGUUGGCGGGGUAAAGGCCCACCAAGGCGACGAUCCGUAGUUGGUCUGAGAGGAGGAUCAGCCACACUGGAACUGAGACACGGUCCAGACUCCUACGGGAGGCAGAAGUGGGGAAUAUUGGACAAUGGGCGCAAGCCUGAUCCAGCCAUAACGCGUGGGUGAAGAAGGCCUUCGGGUUGUAAAGCCCUUUUGUUGGGAAAGAAAAGCAGCAGGUUAAUACCCCGCUGUUCUGACGGUACCCAAAGAAUAAGCAACGGCUAACUUCGUG